GCCUGCCAAAAUCGUCGCUACGGAUAUAGCAAAACUAAUGUAGAAUAUAAUUAAUCAAUUAGGUCGACAACAUAUCCUGUUCUGUUGCGAGAAGAAAGACGAUUUGGUAGAGGUGUCAGUGGUAACACUGGUGCAAGGAG
rnacentral:ncRNA from 1 species